UACGUAGGGGGCUAGCGUUGUCCGGAAUCAUUGGGCGUAAAGCGCGUGUAGGCGGUCCGGUAAGUCCGCUGUGAAAGUCGAGGGCUCAACCCUCGAAUGCCGGUGGAUACUGUCGGGCUUGAGUACGGGAGAGGCGAGUGGAAUUCCUGGUGUAGCGGUGAAAUGCGUAGAUAUCCGGAGGAACACCGGUGGCGAAGGCGGCUUCCUGGACCGACACUGACGCUGAGGCGCGAAAGCUAGGGGAGCAAACGGG
rnacentral:rRNA from 1 species